CACGUGAUGUGCGGAACGGUCAAAGUUGGUGUUUCGCUAGGUCUGUGAUCGCCUGUCAAGGAAAUUAUUUGGGGGAGGUCAUGUGUGAAUCAAAAUCAGUAUUUCCUACCGUUUUCACAUCUCAGUGGAGGUGCUCCAGCAUGACGUACGAAGUUCAUGCAGUACUGAUUCGGUGGAAAGAAUGGAUCCGGUUGUACGACAUAUCAGCCUGUCAGUGUGUGUUUGUGUAUACUGCGAGUUCCAUGACUCAUUCCCAUUGAAUGCCAAGAGAAGUAUAUGACUGAAGAAUUUAAUGUACUUUAAAACCUCUUACUUGGGGAAACAACAGUCGCCAAUCGAUUGAGGGUUCUGCAUGGUUCCAGCUGAAAUAUAUCCACACCGAGGGCGUCAACAUUUUGACAAUUCAAAUGCAAACUAUCCGUUCUAAAUACCUUGCUCACUAUCACUCAGGUGCUCUAGCAAUAUUUUAAGUAACUUAAAAAAUAUUAUUAGAUAGAUUUUAUUAAAAUCAUUUUUGUCAUAAGUACUCUACAUUCAAAGUUUUGCAAAUAAAAGAAAAUUAGUA